UACGAAGGGGGGCUAGCGUUGCUCGGAAUCACUGGGCGUAAAGGGUGCGUAGGCGGGUCUUUAAGUCAGGGGUGAAAUCCUGGAGCUCAACUCCAGAACUGCCUUUGAUACUGAGGAUCUUGAGUACGGGAGAGGUGAGUGGAACUGCGAGUGUAGAGGUGAAAUUCGUAGAUAUUCGCAAGAACACCAGUGGCGAAGGCGGCUCACUGGCCCGUAACUGACGCUGAGGCACGAAAGCGUGGGGAGCAAACGGGG
rnacentral:rRNA from 1 species